AAAUUGAAGAGUUUGAUCAUGGCUCAGAUUGAACGCUGGCGGCAGGCCUAACACAUGCAAGUCGAGCGGUAGCACAGAGAGCUUGCUCUCGGGUGACGAGCGGCGGACGGGUGAGUAAUGUCUGGGAAACUGCCUGAUGGAGGGGGAUAACUACUGGAAACGGUAGCUAAUACCGCAUAACGUCGCAAGACCAAAGUGGGGGACCUUCGGGCCUCAUGCCAUCAGAUGUGCCCAGAUGGGAUUAGCUAGUAGGUGGGGUAACGGCUCACCUAGGCGACGAUCCCUAGCUGGUCUGAGAGGAUGACCAGCCACACUGGAACUGAGACACGGUCCAGACUCCUACGGGAGGCAGCAGUGGGGAAUAUUGCACAAUGGGCGCAAGCCUGAUGCAGCCAUGCCGCGUGUGUGAAGAAGGCCUUCGGGUUGUAAAGCACUUUCAGCGGGGAGGAAGGCGGUGAGGUUAAUAACCUCACCGAUUGACGUUACCCGCAGAAGAAGCACCGGCUAACUCCGUGCCAGCAGCCGCGGUAAUACGGAGGGUGCAAGCGUUAAUCGGAAUUACUGGGCGUAAAGCGCACGCAGGCGGUCUGUCAAGUCGGAUGUGAAAUCCCCGGGCUCAACCUGGGAACUGCAUUCGAAACUGGCAGGCUAGAGUCUUGUAGAGGGGGGUAGAAUUCCAGGUGUAGCGGUGAAAUGCGUAGAGAUCUGGAGGAAUACCGGUGGCGAAGGCGGCCCCCUGGACAAAGACUGACGCUCAGGUGCGAAAGCGUGGGGAGCAAACAGGAUUAGAUACCCUGGUAGUCCACGCCGUAAACGAUGUCGAUUUGGAGGUUGUGCCCUUGAGGCGUGGCUUCCGGAGCUAACGCGUUAAAUCGACCGCCUGGGGAGUACGGCCGCAAGGUUAAAACUCAAAUGAAUUGACGGGGGCCCGCACAAGCGGUGGAGCAUGUGGUUUAAUUCGAUGCAACGCGAAGAACCUUACCUGGUCUUGACAUCCACAGAACUUUCCAGAGAUGGAUUGGUGCCUUCGGGAACUGUGAGACAGGUGCUGCAUGGCUGUCGUCAGCUCGUGUUGUGAAAUGUUGGGUUAAGUCCCGCAACGAGCGCAACCCUUAUCCUUUGUUGCCAGCGGUUCGGCCGGGAACUCAAAGGAGACUGCCAGUGAUAAACUGGAGGAAGGUGGGGAUGACGUCAAGUCAUCAUGGCCCUUACGACCAGGGCUACACACGUGCUACAAUGGCAUAUACAAAGAGAAGCGACCUCGCGAGAGCAAGCGGACCUCAUAAAGUAUGUCGUAGUCCGGAUUGGGAGUCUGCAACUCGACUCCAUGAAGUCGGAAUCGCUAGUAAUCGUAGAUCAGAAUGCUACGGUGAAUACGUUCCCGGGCCUUGUACACACCGCCCGUCACACCAUGGGAGUGGGUUGCAAAAGAAGUAGGUAGCUUAACCUUCGGGAGGGCGCUUACCACUUUGUGAUUCAUGACUGGGGUGAAGUCGUAACAAGGUAACCGUAGGGGAACCUGCGGUUGGAUCACCUCCUUACCUUAAAGAA
rnacentral:rRNA from 1 species